rnacentral:sRNA from 1 species
AGCCUUGGGGCAUCCACGGUAGUUGGCCGU